rnacentral:rRNA from 1 species
AUGUGUAUGCUUGUUUUCGUUGUUAUACCUGUUUUGGAGGCUGUGGGUAGCUCGAUGCACUUUGCCGUCCCUUUCGUAUCUGUGUGUAGUCGCAGAGGAUGGCUCUGUUCUUGCUGGUGUAGAACUCAAGCUCCCAGUGGGACAGUUCUGGUCCUAUGGAGAAGGUUGGUGAAGAAGCCGAGGUGCAGCUACUUUCAACCCCUCAUGCUAUAUACCCGUAUAUACACAUGUCUCCCACUUGAUUGGCUUUGUCUCACGCACAAGGCGAGCUCUGGUGGUAAAGCUGAAACUUCAUCACCUACUGUUGAAGAAAAGGAUGAUGACAAUGACCAGGCUCAAGUGACCAGAAAAAAAGAAUGA